ensembl:snoRNA
CACAUGCUCCUUAGAUCCAUCUUUGUGAGUAUCUCUGUGCUGAGUUCUGCUGGAUAACUUCAAUUCCUAGCAGUUCCAGUCAGAGAUAUUCAGCAACUUUUUUGGUUGUACAGUCAAAGAUGCUUGAGUCAUUGGCAUGUGAGAGUAAUAUAACUGCAUGUUAGUUUUCUGUUCUGAUAGAAGUGGCUGUAAAUCUACAGGCCAUUUAUCACUAUCAGGACUUGGCUGGCAUGCAGACAUG